CUCUUACCCUUUAUCUGAGAUACCGGCGGAUUUUGCCAGCCUCCUCGAAUUCUUCUUACCUUUUGUCCUGCGUUACACGCCGGGGAAAGGAAUUCUGGGAUCGUGUGUUAUGCUGAUGCAAAAUGUUUUUAAGAAGUAAAGAAGUUGUAAAACAAUGGAUACAAGUGUAUAUUUAUAAUACAAGAAAUGACGAUUCUGAAAAAGAAGCUGAUGACCAGAAUAAGGGAUAGGAAGAUGACCUGUUUGCUUGAAGAGCGAGGGAGAGUAAUAGCUCAGAGAAUCUCUGAAAAAGAUCUCUAGAAAAGACAAGGAAACAGAUUAUCCCCUAGAGCCUCCAGAAGGUGUACCCAACAUGGUUCUCACUGGAAUUACAGCAAAUUGGAAGACAGUGGUGGUGACACAGGGUGAAGAACUACUUUUCAGAGGGUGAAACACAAGACUGGCUUUUAGGAAUUUUCCCCCAAAGUAAUUUGUGACUGGAUCCUGUUGCCGAAACUUGGCCUCUGUUCACCGGUGCCGAAGAGGAACGCGGAGACAGAGUUUUGGGUGAAGUAGAAAAGAGUAGCUUUUAUUGCUUUGCCAGGCAGAGGGGGCCACGGCGGGCUAAUGCCCUCAAGACUGUGUGACCCACCCUCGAGGGCGUAGUGAGGAGUCUUACAGUGUCCGAGGAGCAGGGCGUGAUCAGCUCGCGGACAGUUCUCAGACUGGCUGGCAUCAAGGGGAAGUUUCAAGCGUCAUCAACUUUCUGGUUUCAACCAGUCCAGGGUCUAUGUGCUUGUGGGCAGCACUUUCCAUCUGGAGGGGGUCUGCUCCCUGUAAAACCACUUAGGAGUGUGUGUCAGGCCUUUAUCUGAAGCUUCAGUGAACUGGGAGUUCGGUGAUUCUGCCAUGUGGCGGAUUUAUAGUCUAAAUUGUUGCCCGUUCCCCAGCCCAACAGCUGUUCUUUGUUUCUACACCUUCACAUUCCCUAAUCAUUAACUCUUGAGUCAGCACUUUACUUCAAAAGACAAGGACACGGGGGCUCGUACACGGUUUCAACCCUGACCAAGUCUGAGAUUUACACGAUGCAUAUGCUGUUGUUUUCAUAAAUGUUAACGUCCAUAAAAUGAAGUUCUUAAAAGCAUUAUUUGAGUUCUCCAUUGAUUACUGAUUGUAUCAUCAAUACCUUCCAGCCCUGGCAGCACAGGGAGGAAGGAAGAAUUGCUGGGAUGCUUGCAUCACCACAGGGCAAGAGGUCCUCAAAUUUUACUGCUUUAUCUUUAAGUAAUACUUCAUAGUUCGGCUGACUUUUCAUCCAUUCUGCUGAUUCUGCCAGUGAGUUCCUCUGUAGUGACAGCCAAAGGCACUUACGGAAAAUACGUAAACAACCAAGUGUAAAAGCAGAAGUCGAGGUCACUUCAUCUACUACGGAAGUGGGACAUGUGUCUACCUCAGGCCUGAGUCUUCUGAUGGGCCUUUUGGUAAUUGGUGGCGGUGGUGGUGACAAUGUUUGAGUUGUUUUAUUUUUUAUUUUAUUUUUAUCUUUAUUUUAUUUAUUUAUUUUUUUGGCCACGCCGGCGGGGCCUGCGGGAUCUUAGUUCCCCGACCACGGAUCGAACCCGUGCCCCCUGCAGUGGAAGCUCACAGUCUAAACCCUGGACCGCCAGGGAAGUCCUGGUGUAUUGUAUUCUCCCUUCAGGAGGGCUGGAUUCUGCAGGUUCUCUCUUGUGGGUAAGAAGAAUGAUGAAGGAAUAUACAAGGUGCCUUAAAAAACAUAAAAGAAGGAUAUUUGGAACAUUCUUGAAGGUUAGGGGCCAAUUCCCAGAAGCAAUGAUAACUAAAGAGACGACUUCUUGGUUUUAUCCCUGCCGUACCCUCUGCUUCUCAACUGCAACAGCAUAUGCAAGAAGACAAUGUGGAGGGAGGGGCAAGAUGGCGGAAGAGUAAGACGCGGAGAUCACCUUCCUCCCCACAGAUACAUGAGAAAUACAUCUACACGUGGAACUGCUCCUACAGAACACCCACUGAACGCUGGCAGAAGACGUCAGA